rnacentral:rRNA from 1 species
AUAUCAGUCAUGCAUAGCAUAUCAAUAAGCGGAGGAAAAGAAACUAACAAGGAUUCCCCUAGUAACGGCGAGUGAAGCGGGAAGAGCUCAAAUUUGAAAUCUUAAAGGGUUUCCCUUUACGAAUUGUAGUUUAAAGAAGUGUUUUCUGUUGAGGUUUUGGUAAAAGUUCUUUGGAAUAGGACAUCAUAGAGGGUGAGAAUCCCGUAUUUGACCUUUACUUUCAACUUUGUGAUACACUUUCAAAGAGUCGGAUUGUUUGGGAAUGCAGUCCAAAAUGGGUGGUAAAUUUCAUCUAAAGCUAAAUAUUGGCGAGAGACCGAUAGCGAACAAGUACCGUGAGGGAAAGAUGAAAAGAACUUUGAAAAGAGAGUUAAACAGUACGUGAAAUUGUCAAAAGGGAAGCGUUUGACACCAGUGUUGUUUUUCUGAAAAUCAAUUAAAGAACUGUUUAUGCUAAGUUGUUUAGACUUUAUCAGCUAACUGUUUAGUUUUGAGCUUUUCUUUAAUGCACCUUUCAGUUAACAAGUCAACAUCAAUUUCUUUUGCUGUAAAAAAGCUUGAGGAAGGUGGCUUGAGAUUCGUCUUAAGUGUUUAUAGCCUCUUGCCUAUGCAGUCGGAGAGAUUGAGGUCUGCAGCGUAGAUCCUUCGGGGCUAAAUGCAUUUGUGCUAAGUUAUAGCAUUUUAUAGACAACUUGUUGACUAUGAUUUGUCUUGUAGCUUACUCGCUUAUGUUAUUUUACCUACGCUUAGGAUGUUGACGCGCGUGUGUGCGUG